CUAUGUGUUGUUGGGUAGGGGAGCGUUCUGUAAGCCUGUGAAGGUGUACUGUGAGGUAUGCUGGAGGUAUCAGAAGUGCGAAUGCUGACAUAAGUAACGAUAAAGCGGGUGAAAAGCCCGCUCGCCGGAAGACCAAGGGUUCCUGUCCAACGUUAAUCGGGGCAGGGUGAGUCGACCCCUAAGGCGAGGCCGAAAGGCGUAGUCGAUGGGAAACAGGUUAAUAUUCCUGUACUUGGUGUUACUGCGAAGGGGGGACGGAGAAGGCUAUGUUGGCCGGGCGACGGUUGUCCCGGUUUAAGCGUGUAGGCUGAUUUUCCAGGUAAAUCCGGAAAAUCAAGGCUGAGGCGUGAUGACGAGGCACUACGGUGCUGAAGCAACAAAUGCCCUGCUUCCAGGAAAAGCCUCUAAGCAUCAGGUAACAUCAAAUCGUACCCCAAACCGACACAGGUGGUCAGGUAGAGAAUACCAAGGCGCUUGAGAGAACUCGGGUGAAGGAACUAGGCAAAAUGGUGCCGUAACUUCGGGAGAAGGCACGCUGAUACGUAGGUGAAGUCCCUUGCGGAUGGAGCUGAAAUCAGUCGAAGAUACCAGCUGGCUGCAACUGUUUAUUAAAAACACAGCACUGUGCAAACACGAAAGUGGACGUAUACGGUGUGACGCCUGCCCGGUGCCGGAAGGUUAAUUGAUGGGGUUAGCGGUAACGCGAAGCUCUUGAUCGAAGCCCCGGUAAACGGCGGCCGUAACUAUAACGGUCCUAAGGUAGCGAAAUUCCUUGUCGGGUAAGUUCCGACCUGCACGAAUGGCGUAAUGAUGGCCAGGCUGUCUCCACCCGAGACUCAGUGAAAUUGAACUCGCUGUGAAGAUGCAGUGUACCCGCGGCAAGACGGAAAGACCCCGUGAACCUUUACUAUAGCUUGACACUGAACAUUGAGCCUUGAUGUGUAGGAUAGGUGGGAGGCUUUGAAGUGUGGACGCCAGUCUGCAUGGAGCCGACCUUGAAAUACCACCCUUUAAUGUUUGAUGUUCUAACGUUGGCCCCUAAUCGGGGUUGCGGACAGUGUCUGGUGGGUAGUUUGACUGGGGCGGUCUCCUCCUAAAGAGUAACGGAGGAGCACGAAGGUUGGCUAAUCCUGGUCGGACAUCAGGAGGUUAGUGCAAUGGCAUAAGCCAGCUUGACUGCGAGCGUGACGGCGCGAGCAGGUGCGAAAGCAGGUCAUAGUGAUCCGGUGGUUCUGAAUGGAAGGGCCAUCGCUCAACGGAUAAAAGGUACUCCGGGGAUAACAGGCUGAUACCGCCCAAGAGUUCAUAUCGACGGCGGUGUUUGGCACCUCGAUGUCGGCUCAUCACAUCCUGGGGCUGAAGUAGGUCCCAAGGGUAUGGCUGUUCGCCAUUUAAAGUGGUACGCGAGCUGGGUUUAGAACGUCGUGAGACAGUUCGGUCCCUAUCUGCCGUGGGCGCUGGAGAACUGAGGGGGGCUGCUCCUAGUACGAGAGGACCGGAGUGGACGCAUCACUGGUGUUCGGGUUGUCAUGCCAAUGGCACUGCCCGGUAGCUAAAUGCGGAAGAGAUAAGUGCUGAAAGCAUCUAAGCACGAAACUUGCCCCGAGAUGAGUUCUCCCUGACUCCUUGAGAGUCCUGAAGGAACGUUGAAGACGACGACGUUGAUAGGCCGGGUGUGUAAGCGCAGCGAUGCGUUGAGCUAACCGGUACUAAUGAACCGUGAGGCUUAACCUUACAAC
rnacentral:rRNA from 1 species